UUUUUUCCUAACUAAGCUCUUGGGUUACCCAAAGCGCACAUCUCCGUUUGGACCAGUCACAUGUCAAGAGCUGAGCAGUCACACGGUCAGUGGCUGCCGUAUUGGACACUGAGUCUGAGGCCUCCACUCUGCUACCCAACACAGGCUGUCAGUGGGUCCGUCUGGGCCCUGGACUUGUCACACUGGCUGAAGGGACUCCGGGGAGAGGUCUGAUGAAAUGGGAAUAAAGUCUCUUAAAAUCAUGGAACCCCUGCUUGGCUCCCUCUCAGUGGCAGCGCCCUGGCAGCCAGCCCCUAUGCCCUGGACACAGAGGCAGUCCUCCCAGGCCCCUCCCCGCCUCUGCCGCCAGUAGCUCCAAGCCCUCCCUUCCUCUGCCUCCCCCCACCCCCUCAGCUGAGAGUCUAGCAUCUUCUACAGCGCAUUUGCAUUGAUCAAGUGUGACAGCCAGACCCAGUUCUCCAGGCCAUUUUAAAUGAGUGAAGAUCUAGGGGUGUGACUGUGUGGCCAGGGACACCUGGAUACCCUUGGGCCUCUUCAAGCAGCCUUUUCAAGGCUCCCCUUCGCUGCAGGGCGUGUGUCCAGGAGCCUCGAAGCCCUCUUGUAACCGGUGGGGAGGGCUGGGGACCACGUGCUUCCGACCACGCAGGCACUGUGCUGAGAGCUUUGCGUGGAUUCGCCAGGAUAAGCCACCUAACAACCCUAUUUGAUGGGUGCUGUCAGUGACCCAAUUUUAUAGAUACAGAAACUGAGGUCCAGGGGUUAGAUAAUUUGCCCAAGGAUGCACUUAGCGGGAGGCCAACCCAAGACUCCAGGCUCGGCUGUCUUGCUCAGCAUCUGUCCUCUUAAGAGCAGCUGUGCCCUAGGAAAGGGGCAAAGAAGACAUUCUGGGAACUGGGCAAAGAAGGAGGUGGCUUCCCCUGCUGGGGAGAGAUGGGAGUCGGGUCGGCGGGUGGGGGCUUUGAACAGGCCCUUGAUGGAGUGACGGUACUUGAACCUGCAGAGACGGCAGAUGGUAUUUCCCAAAUAGAGUCCUUGCUUUUCUCUUCUGAGGUGCCCUUGGGGUCCGCACCACUAACACGGAACCAGGAGGCCGCCCCUCCCCCCAGCGAUUGUUUCCGUGGCCAAGGAGCGUGGGUGCUUGAUGGCUACAGGGUGAUGGAAUGUUCUGGAACGAGAGUGGUGAUGGUUGCACAGAAGUGGGGGGUGUUACCAAGUGCCACUAGAUGGACACUUCAAAAAGGUUAAGAUGGUAAAUUUUCUGCUUGGUUUUUGCUACUGUAGUUUUUUCAAAAAGGAAAUUGCAAUUUUAAAAAAGGGAAGCUGCUAGGGAAGAGGCAACUUUCUUGAGAAUGGAGGAAGGCAGAGGUUCUGUGGGGAGAUGAAGCUGCAGAGCCUAGAGCCUCCCCGGUCCCUUCCACCCUCAGGCAGGUGCACGAGUGCGUCAUAUCCACGUGAGUGUGUCACAUCCACAAGCGUGUGACAUCCAGAGAGCACGGGACAGCCACGUGAUAUCUGUCCUGGUCAUGUGAGUGUGUACUGCCCACCACCCCAGCGGCGGGUCAGACCUGCCUAGAAACCUCUCGCAGGUGACAGUGAGUGUGUGUCGCACAGGUGACUGCCCAGCGGGGCAGGCCAUUCAUGUGCAAAUGAGCUGCAGUGAUACACAUUUAAAUCUGCUCCCUGCCAGUGCCAGGCUCUAUCCACACCCCUUUCCUGUGCUGGAGCCGAAGUCCAUCUGACCUCCCCCCACCCACCUCCCCGCCCUGACUCUUUCCAUCACAUGAAGGUGACACCUGCAUCCCACAUCCCCACCUGCCCCUCCAGGAGGUGGGUCUUGGCUAUACUGAUGCAGGACCCAAGAGGCUGGCAGGGGGGGUCCUCCCUGAGGCUGGGGAAGAGAGGGUCCUUCGAUGGGCUGUGUAAGCUGAGCAGGGAGGUUGGAAGGUUUGGAAGGUGCAUCCAAAGGAGAAGCGCCUGGGUGAGAAGGGGUGUAACUCGCCAAAACAUUUCCCUUGAACUUGGAAAUAUAAGAACGAUGAGAGGCUGUUGUCACGGCUGGGUGAUUUGGGCAAAUCGACUAGCUUCUCUGAGAUGGGAUGGGUCGUACCCGGCAGAAGCUCUGAUGCGGAAGAGGAUGCAAAAGGAGGGGAGGAAGGAGGAAGGAAAAUGAAAGAGAGUGGAUGAGGACGAAUGGAAAUCACUAACAGCAUUCAUAUGGCUUACCCAGUGUUCACUCAGUCAAUCACUCAUUUGUGUGUUUAUCCGACAAGCACCUCUGUAUCAGAAUACGGGUGGAAGGGAACAAAGCCGAGGAAUGUGGUCCCUGCUCUUGGGGUGGGGUGGGGGGCUCUCAGGAGAUUUGAGGACGGGACAAAUAUGGCGAUAGGUAGAUCCAGAGUGACAAAUGCUCUGAUAAGGUCUGCACAGGCUACUCCUGGGCCGUGGGAGAUGGGGAGUAUUCUAACUAUGGUGGGGGGCGGGGGAGAGGUCUCAGGCACGACUCCCUGGACUGAAAUUGCCUGUGUUGGGCUUGUAAGGCAGGUGUAUUUUCCCUCACAGGUGGAAGACAUGGCUUGAAGGGCAUCGCAGGAGCGGGAACAGGGUGAGCAAAGACGUGCAGAUAUGAAAUGGCAUGGCU
rnacentral:lncRNA from 1 species